UGUUCUUUUUAAAAUUUCCAUGACAUUUUCUAUAUCCCUCAUGCCUCCCCCUUGGAAUGAGUUUCCUUCAUGUCUUUUGUCAGAUUCUGGAUUGUCAGCGUAUGUAUUGUCAAUAAAGUAGUCAUCCAUUCCUAUUGCUCAAUUCCUUAAUCUUGAAAACCUGAGAGAAAUCCUUGAUGGAUAUUGCCAAGUUUUAAAGAAGGAAGAGAAAUCAAAGAUGAUCCAGUUCCAGCAGACAAUUGAAAGAUGCUGUCUUUAACUACCCCUCAUUUCAUUCAUAAAACCGUUGAUUUAC
rnacentral:misc_RNA from 1 species